UGUUUAUCUUCUUCCUGCCUCCCACCGGCCACACCCUGUUGGGCAUUUCCCGGCCUUCUAUAGGCUACUCACCCUGUCUAUCUUCUUCCCCUUCCCUUAAGUCAAGCCCUCUAUCUUCUUCCAGCCUCCCAUAGGUCACGCCCUUGUCUAAUCUCCCUGCCUCCCAUAGGCCACACCCCUGUUUGUCUGUUCCCCCUCCUCCCAUCUUCUCCGGACCUUCCAUAGGCCAUGCUCCUGGUGGUUUCCUGCUGCAGGGUAGGCUCCCGAAGAGUCCUAGCAUGUCAAAGUCAUCCUGUCUACGAUAAGGUUGGAACCACAGUGUUCCUGGACUGCAGGCUUCAAAGUGGGCUGGGGAGAGCAACAUGUCUUCUGAUAUAUAGAAAAUGAGUCAAAACACACGUACGUUUCCAAGUUCCUAAACUCUAGCAAUUAUUUCUGCAGUGCCGGGGAGUGGACUGAGCCUGUAACAGUGAGAAAUGACAGGAGGAAAAUUCCCACGGUGACCUUCAGGACGGACAGACAACGCUGCCUGUGGGAAGAGCCACCCGGGAGUGCCUCUGCUGUGGUGCCCUGCCCUUCUGAGGCACGCUGACUGGUUUUGAUGUCUCUAGUUGCUCACCUUAUAGUGAAACUCAAUUGGUGGGGGGGGAUGUGUGAGGAGGCAGGGGAGCCAGGGACGACCAAGCUUGCAGGACCCAGCUCUACCCACACUGGAAUCCAUUUGCAUUUUGCCUCCUGAAUGACAAAUGCCUAAGCCUGUAAUAUCAAUACAGACAUGAACUGUGACUUGACACAUGAGGAUGUGUGAGGCCAUUGACUCAGUGGGCAGUAGCCAGGGGCCAAUGCCCUCACUUGUAUUUGGUCAAGCAAGGUCUCUGGAGAAGGACAGCUUCGUGGUGGAGAAGGAGGCACCAGGUGAUCCUGAUUGAGGCUGCUCUCCUGCUGUGGUUUGAAUGAGAAUGGCCCUCAUAGUCUCAUAUGUUUGAAAAAUUGGUCGCCAGUUGGUUGGAACUGUUUGGGAAGGAUUAGGAGGUGUGGCUAUGUUAGAGGAGGUGUGUAACUGGGGGCUGGCCUUGAGGUUUCAAAAGCCAUUCCCAGUGUUCAUUGUCUCUCUGUCUCUCUCUCUCUGUCUCUCUACCUGUCUCUGUCUCUGUCUCUCUCCCUCCCUCCCACCUUCUUUCCCUCCAUCCUUCCCCUUCCUCUCCUACUUGCAGAUAGGAUGUGAAUUCUCAGUUACAGCUCCAGAGCCAUGCCUGCCUUCCUGUUGCCGUGCUCCCUGCCAUGCUUGUCAUGAAUUCUGUAUGUCCCCCAAUAAACUCUUUCUUGUAUAA